GUCAGGAAGAGGAAGAAAGGAGAGCCUAAGAGUAGUGGGAGUGGGAACAUUAUGGAAAGCCAACAUGUUUGUUUCCUCUAACCAUGAUGGAGUCUAAUGUGCUUUCCGAUGCCUCCCAUUCCUAUUAUUCUUAAGCACUCCUUCCUCUUCCUUUUUGGC
rnacentral:pre_miRNA from 2 species